CUGCGGGAGGGUGUGUGGGGGCGGGGUCAGUGCUCGACUCUGGCAUCCUUUGUUGCACCCGGCCCUCCCCUAGCCCCUGACUCUGUAGUUCUGUUUCGCAGGUUCUGAGCAGUGCAGAGAACAUUGCUGUGGGGCUUGCAACAGAGAAAGCCUGUGCUUGGCUGUCAGCCAACAUCACAGCACUGAUCAGGAGGGAGGUGAAAGCAGCAGUGAGUCGCACACUUCGAGCCCAGGGUCCUGAACCUGCUGCCCGGGGGGAGCGGAGGGGCUGCUCCCGCGCCUGUGAGCACCAUGCUCCCCUCCCCUCCCACCUCAUCUCCGAGAUAAAAGACGUGCUCUCCUUGGCCGUGGGGCCACGGGACCCUGACGAGGGAGUCUCCCCAGAGCAUCUGGAACAGCUCCUAGGCCAGCUGGGCCAGACGCUGCGGUGCCGCCAGGUGAGCUGUGGCAUCUGCCACCGGAGGGCUUUUUUCUGUGUCCUUGUGUGAGACCUGAUAACCAGAGCCACACUGGCUCAGGGCCAGUUCUCGCAGCAGUAAGCAUGGUGAUACCUAUGGUCUCUCUUUCCACCCCCCCCAACCGCAGUUCCUGUGCCCACCUGCUGAGCAGCAUCUGGCAAAGUGCUCUGUGGAGUUAGCUUCCCUCCUCGUUGCAGAUCAAAUUCCUAUCCUAGGGCCCCCGGCACAGUACAGGCUGGAGAGAGGGCAGGCUCGAAGGCUUCUGCACAUGCUGCUUUCCUUGUGGAAGGAAGACUUUCAGGGGCCGGUUCCGCUGCAGCUGCUGCUGAGCCCAAGAAAUGUGGGGCUUCUGGCAGACACAAGGCCAAGGGAGUGGGACUUGCUGCUAUUCUUGCUCCGGGAGCUGGUGGAGAAGGGUCUGAUGGGACGGAUGGAGAUAGAGGCCUGCCUGGGCAGCCUCCACCAGGCCCUGUGGCCAGGGGUAAGGAGUCUCCUGUCUUUUAGGUGGAGAGAGAACAGGUGUUA
rnacentral:lncRNA from 1 species